rnacentral:rRNA from 1 species
AACGAACGCUGGCGGCAUGCCUAACACAUGCAAGUCGAACGAGACCUUCGGGUCUAGUGGCGCACGGGUGCGUAACGCGUGGGAAUCUGCCCUUGGGUUCGGAAUAACUUCGGGAAACUGAAGCUAAUACCGGAUGAUGACGUAAGUCCAAAGAUUUAUCGCCCAAGGAUGAGCCCGCGUAGGAUUAGCUAGUUGGUGAGGUAAAGGCUCACCAAGGCGACGAUCCUUAGCUGGUCUGAGAGGACGAUCAGCCACACUGGGACUGAGACACGGCCCAGACUCCUACGGGAGGCAGCAGUGGGGAAUAUUGGACAAUGGGCGAAAGCCUGAUCCAGCAAUGCCGCGUGAGUGAUGAAGGCCUUAGGGUU